rnacentral:lncRNA from 1 species
CCAUUAGAGGUGCCACACGCCUGGUGUCUAUUAUGUAUUGAAAUUGUCAUUCAUCAUAUGACCAUCAUGAUGUACCUUUAGAUCAAUACUCAGAUUGACUGAGCCACACUCAAACCUGGACAUCCAUUUAUUGGAUGCACUUGGUGUGUCAUGUUAAUAGUUGGACCUAACCAAAAUUUUCAGUGGAGACGCCGAACGCUUGCUGAAGGGAUGCCUGGGGC